rnacentral:rRNA from 1 species
UACGGAGGGUGCGAGCGUUUAUUGGAAUUACUGGGCGUAAAGCGCGCGUAGGCGGCUUGUUAAGUCGGAUGUGAAAUCCCCGGGCUCAACCUGGGAACUGCAUCCGAUACUGGCGAGCUGGAGUGCGAUAGAGGGGGGUAGAAUUCCUGGUGUAGCGGUGAAAUGCGUAGAUAUCAGGAGGAAUACCGGUGGCGAAGGCGGCCCCCUGGAUCGACACUGACGCUGAGGUGCGAAAGCGUGGGUAGCAAACAGG